GAUAAACGCUGGCGGCGUGCUUAACACAUGCAAGUCGAACGGAGUGGUUCUCCCGAGGAUUGAAGGUGCUUGCACCAGAUUGACUCAAUUGAAUCACUUAGUGGCGGACGGGUGAGUAACGCGUGGGCAACCUGCCUCUCAGAGUGGAAUAACAGUUGGAAACGGCUGCUAAUACCGCAUAACGUCAUAGUACCGCAUGAUACCUUGACCAAAGAUUUAUCGCUGAGAGAUGGGCUCGCGUCCGAUUAGGUAGAUGGUGGGGUAACGGCCUACCAUGCCGACGAUCGGUAGCCGGACUGAGAGGUUGAUCGGCCACAUUGGGGACUGAGACACGGCCCAGACUCC
rnacentral:rRNA from 1 species